GUUUAGAGGAAAAGAAUUAAUUCAACAGCAAAAACUGCUUGUAAAUCUUGAAAGAAAGCAAAAACUUAUGGAAUUACCACAAAGUCAGACCAGACCAAUGCAAAUAAAAUUAUCGCCAUUGGAAUGUGGUUGGAAGAGUGUUACAAUGGAUGGCAGAAGCAUUGAAUCAGAUCUUAUUGGAAAAGAUACAUUUGAAAGUUUUGAAACCUGGAUUUUGGAAAACAAAAUGAUAAUUUGUAUGACCAGUAAUUUAGCACGUAAGACUAGAAUCAAUUCAUUUAUAGUAACUGGGAAUGGAAAUAGAUUGGCUGGAUUUGCGUUAUCAAAAGCCAAAGCAUCCCUAAAGACGAUUAAAAAUAGGGCUGGUCAAAGAUUAAUGUAUAUUCCUACAUAUAAGAAACACACUGUGUUACAUGAUUUCUUUACACAGUUUGAGAAUAUAAAAAUAUUUGUAAAGAAAAUUCAUGAAGGAUAAUGGACUUGUUUGUCAUCAUGCGAUAAAAGCAUGUUGCGAGAUAAUUGGCAUAAAGGAUAUGUAUGCCAAAGUACAAGGAGGAAUGUAAAAGCAUUCUUUGGUUGGUUUAUUGCAAUAGUGAUACAGAAACAACAUUA
rnacentral:misc_RNA from 1 species